UUGCUUCAGCAGCAUCCAAACUGAAAAUGAUAAUAAGAAAGAACUGAUUAGUAUGGCCCCUGCACAAGGAUGACAUAAAUUUGUGAAGCAUUCCAGAUACAUAUUUUU